rnacentral:rRNA from 1 species
UACGUAGGGUGCAAGCGUUAAUCGGAAUUACUGGGCGUAAAGCGUGCGCAGGCGGUUGUGUAAGUCCGAUGUGAAAUCCCCGGGCUCAACCUGGGAAUUGCAUUUGAGACUGCACGGCUAGAGUGUGUCAGAGGGGGGUAGAAUUCCACGUGUAGCAGUGAAAUGCGUAGAGAUGUGGAGGAAUACCGAUGGCGAAGGCAGCCCCCUGGGAUAACACUGACGCUCAUGCACGAAAGCGUGGGGAGCAAACAGG